rnacentral:rRNA from 1 species
UACCAUGCAGUCGAACGGUAAGGCUCCUUCGGGAGUGCCUUAGUGGCGAACGGGUGAGUAACACGUGAGCACCUGCCCUUGACUCUGGAAUAACAGCUGGAAACAGCUGCUAAUACCGGAUAUGACCUCAUCCUACAUCUGAUGAGGUGGAAAGUUCUGGCGGUCAUGGAUGGGCUCGCGGCCUAUCAUCUUGUUGGUGAGGUAACGGCUCACCAAGGCUUCGACGGGUAGCCGGCCUGAGAGGGCGACCGGCCACCCUGGGACUGAGAUACCGCCCACACUCCUACUGGAGGCAGCAGUGGGGAAUAUUGCACAAUGGGCGAAAGCCUGAUGCAGCAACGCCGCGUGCGGGAUGACGGCCUUCGGGUUGUAAACCGCUUUCAUCUUCGACGAAGCGCAAGUGACGGUACUAGCAGAAAAACGACCGGCCAUCUACGUGCCAACACCCGCGGUGAUACAUAUGGUCCGAGCGUUGUCCAGAAUUAUUGGGCGUAAAGGGCUUGUAUGCAGUUUGUCGCGUCAGAAGUGAAAACUCAGGGCUUAACCCUGAGCCUGCUUCCGAUACGGGCUAACUAGAGGGAUGCAGGAGAGAACGGAAUUCCUGGUGGAGCGGUGGAAUGCGCAGAUAUCAAAAAAGAACACCUGUGGCGAACGAGGUUCUCUGGUGUUUUUCUGACUCUGACAAGCGA